CCUACGGGAGGCAGCAGUGGGGAAUAUUGGGCAAUGGGCGCAAGCCUGACCCAGCAACGCCGCGUGAAGGAAGAAGGAUUUCGGGUUGUAAACUUCUUUUGUCAGGGAAGAGUAGAAGACGGUACCUGACGAAUAAGCCACGGCGACCUACGUGACAGCAGCAGUGGUAAUACGUAGGUGGCAAGCGUUGUCCGGAUUUACUGGGUGGAAAGGGCGUGUAGCCGGGUUGGCAAGUCAGAUGUGAAAGCCUGCGGCUUAACCGCAGAACUGCAUUUGAAACUGUUGAUCUUGAGUACUGGAGAGGCAGAUGGAAUUCCUAGUGUAGCGGUGAAAUGCGUAGAUAUUAGGAGGAACACCAGUGGCGAAGGCGGUCUGCUGGACAGCAACUGACGGUGAGGCGCGAAAGCGUGGGGAGCAAACAGGAUUAGAUACCCUGGUAGUC
rnacentral:rRNA from 1 species